AUUGAACGCUGGCGGCAGGCCUAACACAUGCAAGUCGAGCGGAUGAGUGGAGCUUGCUCCAUGAUUCAGCGGCGGACGGGUGAGUAAUGCCUAGGAAUCUGCCUGGUAGUGGGGGACAACGUUUCGAAAGGAACGCUAAUACCGCAUACGUCCUACGGGAGAAAGCAGGGGGACCUUCGGGCCUUGCGCUAUCAGAUGAGCCUAGGUCGGAUUAGCUAGUAGGUGAGGUAAUGGCUCACCUAGGCGACGAUCCGUAACUGGUCUGAGAGGAUGAUCAGUCACACUGGAACUGAGACACGGUCCAGACUCCUACGGGAGGCAGCAGUGGGGAAUAUUGGACAAUGGGCGAAAGCCUGAUCCAGCCAUGCCGCGUGUGUGAAGAAGGUCUUCGGAUUGUAAAGCACUUUAAGUUGGGAGGAAGGGCAGUAAGUUAAUACCUUGCUGUUUGACGUUACCAACAGAAUAAGCACCGGCUAACUUCGUGCCAG
rnacentral:rRNA from 1 species